CGGCCAGGUGGCCGGCGGCCCAGCGGAGCCGGCCCACCGCGCCGGCCAGCACCGGUUCGGCCCGGUCGGCGGUCUCCUCGCCGCGCAGCCGG
rnacentral:tRNA from 1 species